AGAGUUUGAUCAUGGCUCAGGAUGAACGCUGGCGGCAUGCCUAAGACAUGCAAGUCGAACGAAGUGGCCCAACGAGUGCUGAGUGCUUGCACAAAGUAUGAGAUGGAUUUCCACUUAGUGGCAGACGGGUGAGUAACACGUAAGUAAUCUACCUUAGAGAUUGGAAUAAUGUUUGGAAACGAACACUAAUACCGAAUAAUUCAUAAAUAGACAACUAUUUAUGCUAAAAGAAGCGUUUGCUUCGCUUUAAGAUGAGCUUGCGGCGUAUUAACUAGUUGGUGAGGUAAUGGCUCACCAAGGUAACGAUGCGUAGCCGAACUGAGAGGUUGAUCGGCCACAUUGGGACUGAGACACGGCCCAAACUCCUACGGGAGGCAGCAGUUAGGAAUACUCGUCAAUGGGGGAAACCCUGAACGAGCAAUGCCGCGUGAGUGAUGACGGUCUUUAUGAUUGUAAAACUCUGUUGUAAGGAACGAAACCUUAGAAUAGGAAAUGAUUCUAAGCUGACUGUACCUUACCAGAAAGCCCCGGCUAACUACGUGCCAGCAGCCGCGGUAAUACGUAGGGGGCGAGCGUUAUCCGGAUUUAUUGGGCGUAAAGUGUGCGUAGGCGGUUUAUUAAGUCUAAGAUUAAAGCCCGAGGCUUAACCUCGGUUCGUUUUAGAAACUGGUAGACUUGAGUGUGGUAGAGGCAAGUGGAAUUUCUAGUGUAGCGGUUAAAUGCGUAGAUAUUAGAAGGAACACCAGUGGCGAAGGCGGCUUGCUGGGCCAUUACUGACGCUGAGGCACGAAAGCGUGGGGAGCAAAUAGGAUUAGAUACCCUAGUAGUCCACGCCGUAAACGAUGAGUACUAAGUGUCGGGUAACCGGUGCUGAAGUUAACACAUUAAGUACUCCGCCUGAGUAGUACGGUCGCAAGGCUGAAACUCAAAGGAAUUGACGGGCACCCGCACAAGCGGUGGAGCAUGCUGUUUAAUUCGAAGAUACGCGAAGAACCUUACCUAGACUUGACAUCCCGAGCAAAGCUAUAGAAAUAUAGUGGAGGUUAUCUCGGUGACAGGUGGUGCAUGGUUGUCGUCAGCUCGUGUCGUGAGAUGUUCGGUUAAGUCCGAUAACGAGCGCAACCCUCGUCUUUAGUUACUAACGAUUCGGUCGAGGACUCUAAAGAUACUGCCGGUAAUAAACCGGAGGAAGGUGGGGAUGACGUCAAAUCAUCAUGCCCCUUACGUCUAGGGCUACAGGCGUGCUACAAUGGCUGGUACAAAAAGAAGCAAUACCGUGAGGUGGAGCAAAUCUCUAAAGCCAGUCUCAGUUCGGAUUGAAGUCUGCAACUCGACUUCAUGAAGCUGGAAUCGCUAGUAAUCCUGAAUCAGAAUGUCAGGGUGAAUACGUUCCCGGGUGUUGUACACACCGCUCGUCACGCCAUGGGAGUUGGUAAUACCCGAAGUCGGUAGCCUAACCUUUUAGGAGGGGGCCGGCGAAGGUAGGAUCAGCGACUGGGGUGAAGUCGUAACAAGGUAGCCGUA
rnacentral:rRNA from 1 species